AAUAGGUUCGAGGUGGAAGCGUAGCGAUACGUGGAGCUGACGAAUACUAAUCGAUCGAAGACUUAAUCAAUUU
rnacentral:rRNA from 1 species